rnacentral:rRNA from 1 species
AGCAGUCGCCGCGGUAAUACGUAGGUGGCAAGCGUUGUCCGGAAUUAUUGGGCGUAAAGCGCGCGCAGGCGGAUCAGUUAGUCUGUCUUAAAAGUUCGGGGCUUAACCCCGUGAGGGGAUGGAAACUGCUGAUCUAGAGUAUCGGAGAGGAAAGUGGAAUUCCUAGUGUAGCGGUGAAAUGCGUAGAUAUUAGGAAGAACACCAGUGGCGAAGGCGACUUUCUGGACGAAAACUGACGCUGAGGCGCGAAAGCCAGGGGAGCGAACGGGAUUAGAUACCCCGGUAGUCCCUGUCUCUUAUACA